rnacentral:tRNA from 1 species
AAUGAAGUGCCUGAUUAAAGGAUUAUUGUGAUAGAAUAAAUAAAGUACAAAAAUACCUUCAUUA